rnacentral:rRNA from 1 species
UACGUAGGGUCCGAGCGUUGUCCGGAAUUACUGGGCGUAAAGAGCUCGUAGGUGGUUUGUCGCGUUGUUCGUGAAAACUCACAGCUCAACUGUGGGCGUGCGGGCGAUACGGGCAGACUUGAGUACUGCAGGGGAGACUGGAAUUCCUGGUGUAGCGGUGGGAAUGCGCAGAUAUCAGGAGGAACACCGGUGGCGAAGGCGGGUCUCUGGGCAGUAACUGACGCUGAGGAGCGAAAGCGUGGGGAGCGAACAGG